rnacentral:rRNA from 1 species
CCUACGGGAGGCAGCAGUGAGGAAUAUUGGUCAAUGGGCGGGAGCCUGAACCAGCCAAGUCGCGUGAGGGAAGAAGGUACUGAGUAUUGUAAACCUCUUUUGCCAGGGGACAAAGGCGGCCACGGGUGGCCGUAAGAGGGUACCUGGAGAAAAAGCAUCGGCUAACUCCGUGCCAGCAGCCGCGGUAAUACGGAGGAUGCGAGCGUUAUCCGGAUUUAUUGGGUUUAAAGGGAGCGUAGAUGGGUUGUUAAGUCAGUUGGGAAAGUUUGCGGCUCAACCGUAAAAUUGCAAUUGAUACUGGCAGCCUUGAGUACAGUUGAGGUAGGCGGAAUUCGUGGUGUAGCGGUGAAAUGCUUAGAUAUCACGAAGAACUCCGAUUGCGAAGGCAGCCUACUAAACUGCCACUGACAUUGAUGCUCGAAAGUGUGGGUAUCAAACAGGAUUAGAUACCCGGGUAGUC